AGUAAAUUGGUUAAGUUAGAAAGGGCGCACGGUGGAUGCCUUGGCACUAGGAGCCGAAGAAGGACGGGACUAACACCGAUAUGCUUUGGGGAGCUGUACGUAAGCGUUGAUCCAGAGAUUUCCGAAUGGGGGAACCCACUAUCUUUAGUCGGAUAGUAUCCUUACGUGAAUACAUAGCGUGAGGAAGGCAGACCCAGGGAACUGAAACAUCUAAGUACCUGGAGGAAGAGAAAGAAAAAUCGAUUUCCUGAGUAGCGGCGAGCGAAACGGAAAGAGCCCAAACCAAGAAGCUUGCUUCUUGGGGUUGUAGGACACUCUAUACGGAGUUACAAAAGAAAGUUAUAAAUGAAGCGGUCUGGAAAGGCCCGCCAAAGACGGUAACAGCCCGGUAGUUGAAAUAGCUUUCCCUCCAGAGUGGAUCCUGAGUACGGCGGAACACGUGAAAUUCCGUCGGAAUCCGGGAGGACCAUCUCCCAAGGCUAAAUACUCCCUAGUGA
rnacentral:rRNA from 1 species